UACGAAGGGGGCUAGCGUUGCUCGGAAUCACUGGGCGUAAAGCGCACGUAGGCGGCUUUCUAAGUCAGGGGUGAAAUCCUGGAGCUCAACUCCAGAACUGCCUUUGAUACUGGAGAGCUUGAGUCCGGGAGAGGUGAGUGGAACUCCGAGUGUAGAGGUGAAAUUCGUAGAUAUUCGCAAGAACACCAGUGGCGAAGGCGGCUGACUGGUCCGGUUCUGACGCUGAGGCGCGAAAGCGUGGGGAGCAAACAGG
rnacentral:rRNA from 1 species